GUGGAUAUAGUUUAAAGGUAAAACAGCUGUAUGUGGCAUAGCACUUCCUUGUUCAAGUCAGGGUAUCCUCC
rfam:Lasallia pustulata genome assembly, contig: scaffold680_size22439